CAGCAAUUGCCUUUCAAUUCCUGAAGGCUCGACAAUUGGCCUGAGGGGAGGUCUUGGCAGUGGGCAGAUUGCUGCAGGAACCUCACCAGCAGCAGUUCUUGGGUGAGCUGCUCUCAAAGGCAGGCAGCAUAGUGAAGAUUUUUUUUUUUUACAACACACACAGGGGAACGCCACGGUCUGGUAGACUCUUCUAUAUGUUGAGCCUCCAGCUGUUCUUGCACCAGUUGUUCAAGUGCCUGCGACAUUUCUUUUGUUAUGGGCCACCGCUCUUGCCAGAGAGGCUAGUUUGAUAAUCAUUUUUAGGGGCAAGGCUGUUGGAAUGUCAGCAGUGGCCCCUUUCAUAAAUUUGGAAAUGCAAUCCCUGUGACAUCCUGGUUUUUCUUGACUCAGCUUGCGAGUGUUCUCUCUCACCUGCCUCAAUACCUUCCCAGGGAGCAUCUACCAUAUCAACUUUAAUUUCCUUAUUUGCUGUCCUCCCCCCCCCCAAAUUGCAGGAAUAUUAAUUUGAUGAAUACUCCCAAUUGUUGUAAAAGAUCCCUUCCCCAUAAAUUUGUGGGUAUGUCAGCCACAGAAGGUCUCAACUUCCCCAUUUAUCCUUCUGGUCCCACACAGGGUAGUCCAUUGGAUGCUUUGUCUUAUUUGUGAUAAUUUACCAAUUCCUAUACAUUGUGUGUCAACCUCCUGAAGUGUCCAAUCUGGAUUCUAAGUGUACUAACAUCAGCUCCUGUAUCCACUAAACCUUCUAUGUCCACAUCAUUCAUUUGUGCCAUUAUUAAUUUGGGUCUCUGUUUGCCAUGUUUCUAGUUUCCCGGUGCUCCCAAAAGCCCCUGUUCUUUCUACUGGAGCGGCCUUGUCCUGAUGUAAGGGGACACCAGUUGGGCAAUUCCUGUCCCCUGCAUUGAGUUGCAGCUCCUUUGUCACAUGUAUAAAUAAUUUUUAUGUCUUGCUAGCCCCAUCUACUAUACCUGGAUGCACAAUACAUCCUUGAGAAGUUAAUUCACUUCUUCCCAAGAUUAUCCCCACUGUCCCUGAAGGUAAGAGAGCAUACACACCAGAGGUUUAACUUGUAAUGUUCCACUUUGGGGAGUAAUGUAAGAGUGCUAUCUGUGGCCAGACCCAAAACUGCACUUCCUUCUGUAACAUGCAUAGGAUCAGAAAUAACCCAAUUUUGAGUUUCUUGCAUUCCUGAUACCUCCUGACUGACCUCAGGGGCUGCGAGACCCUCGAUUCUCCCCUCUACCCCACCAUGGCAAGACGUUACUACGUAUGUCUCUCUUUGACUGGCAAUCCGUUGACCAACGUUUGCCAUUUCCACAGCGGCUGCCAUACCCUGGACUCUGUGGCUCAAAGUGGCCAGAGUCGGCUUGUUCUCUUCUUGGAUCACCGUGUUCUCUUCUAGAGUCAAUGCACCUGUUAUUUUGAGCUUUGAAUCUUUUAGCCUUACAAUUUCUUUGGAAAUGACCAACAAUUCACCACAUUUAAAACACUGAGCAUUUUGAUUUUUGAUAUUUCUAGCUACGGUUUGCCCUAUGAUCUUUGCAUUAUGCUCCUGAGACCGGAUGCUGCUUGUCUCCCUUGUCCACUCAUCUACAGGGAGCUCCAUGUGCUUCCCAUGGUCUGAUUGCUCUCUUAUAUUCGGUGUUGGCAUUCUCCAACACCACUAUUUCUAUCAAUGACUUGUAAGGUUUCAGGGUCUGUUAUGGCUCUAUUCACAGCUGAACUCAACCUCUGUACGGAUUCUGUAAAGGCUCUUCCAGAAUCCCAUAUUUUAGUAAAGGAAGUAGAUUCCCCCCCCCCAUUGCCCGCCCCCCAAGUUACCCAAUCAAAUCCUAAACUCUUAAAGUGGUGAAAUGGCACUGUUGAAUUACACCAUCAUCAAAUCUGAUUUGUUCUUGUAAGUUGGCAUAACGCCCCUCCCCAGGCAGCCUGUCUUUAGUAACAUUGAUUCCCCUUGCUAGAUUACAUUGUACUAGCUUUGUUGCUUUGUGCCUCCACCAUGACAACCAUUGUGACUGCCUAGCAACUUCUAGAACAGCUGACACAGGUCCCUUCCAAGCUUGGGAGGAUCACCCUAUGCUGCGCAGCCCAGCUAUUUUAGCAUUUCUCUGACAAAGGAGGGAUGUAAGCCAUACAAUACCACAGCCUCUUUAAAAAUACUUUAAAUCUAACAUUCCUAUCGGUAGUCAGGUAAAGUCCUAAUAAGCCUGUCCACCAUUGUUAUCAGGCAUAUGCUGCACAAAGACCGGGGAAGCCUGAAGGUGCCUGUGUAGGUCCAGGCGAAUUCUUUUGUGGUGCGCUCUGCUGCACAUUAACCCAUGCCAUUUCCUGCUCUUCCAGGUCCCUAGAAGCAGGGCAGGGCAGGGUGGGGCGGGGGCAGUUUAUCUUCCAGUCUAGUUUGCUUCCCACUCUCAUCAUGCAGUGAAAUCCUGCUCUCAUCCAUCAAGCCUGAACUUUUUUCUCCUCCCAGUGACCCCUUUUGUUUUCCAAGCAUUGGAAAACUGUCCGAAGAAAACUCUAAAUGCAUACUCAACUCUACAAUCUUCUCUAACGAAAGAGGACUGUCGGGUUUCCCAUUAUUAUUAUUUUUUUCUUCAAAACAGUAUACAGGAAAAGUACAAUGCAAACCCAAAAUACCCCUUCUGGGAACGAGGCAGGAUACAACCCAGUGACAGUAGCUGCCAUUUUGCCAAUCUCCUUAAGUGUCCACCAGGACCUGCAGAUAGAUGGGCGGGAACCAUGCUGAGCCCUCCCACCUUCCUCCUGUACACUUCUGGUGGAGGUUUGGCCCAGAGCCAGCACACCUCUUUCUCUCUGCUCCUUGGUCUCAUAGUGUAUGUCCUGUGCACCACUCAAGCCUGCACGGGGCGUUGAGGGGGUGGGGGUGGGGAGGCACAGACCACCUGCACCUACCAUAGCCUUCUGCCUCCUACAGGGUCCUCAUUGUGUGCCUGGUGCACCUGCCUACCUCGGCCGCUUCUGGAGUGCACCCUCUCAGAGGUGCAGGGCAAACAGCCCAAUCUCUGAUUCACCCAGGGAGGGUUGGCCAGUCUCAGAGUCCAGCAGGAUGAAGAAAUAAUGUUUCUGGUGAAGGUUACCACCUCUGCCAGUCCCUGCGCCACACCACCAUCCACUAUUGAGUGCAUAGACCCUGGACCCUUUGACUCCAGAGGAUUUGCAACAACACACAGCCCAGAGCUCAGAGGCUGACCCUGGUGAUUUGAGUCGCGCCUUUCCAGCUGCGCGCAUGCGCGGUGCCUUUUCCCGGUAAUGUUUCAUAUGCUCUUGAUGUAGAUUCUCCUGUUGCUCACUGCAGGGCUGUGUGGGAUGCUGACGCUGGCGGGUGGCGACUGGGGAGGCUCUGCCUGUCUCUGAGGUUCUCCUGCCUUUCUGUCUUCUGCAUUUAUCAGUAAGAAGGGAGGGCUGAGUCUCCAACUGCAGUAGAGAAUUUGCCCGCUUCUGCAAAUCUACCUGGUUUCGCCUCCUCCGAUAUGAGACCCUCUCGUCAGGGAGCCCAGCUGCGUGGAUGCCGGGGACGCUAUGGCUUUGAGGACUGGCCCACCGAGCCAAAGGUGGAACCUGUUUGUCCACAAAUCCUUUUCCUCACCGUGAUGGCUGCUUUGCUUGAUGGAUCUGCAGCUGCUUGGCUUACUUUUUGAUUUGUCAGAGAGAGGCGAGUUCUUUUACUCGAGGGGGGAGGAACCGCUCGCACUAGGGAGGUGAGGCUGGUGUGGGUCCUAUGAUGCAGGCCUUACUAGGUGCAGUUUGAGCUGAGAGAGUUAGGGUGGGAGCAUGAGUAUGCAGAUGGGCUGGAAGGGGGUGUGGGGGAACGAGAGGGCAGGGCAGCCAUGCUUGCUUCCAGACAUGGGAUGCAGCAGCUUUACAAGGCCCCAGAAUGGGGCGUCCCUCUCCCUCCAAGCUCCUCUGCUAUGCUUAUGAUGGCAUUGGAGAGGGAGCCCAAGAGCCUGGGCAGGGAGAGGGGAGAGCAUGGGGCAGUGGGUCCUGGCAUGUCUGGGUCUAGGGUGGUGACUCUCAGACCCAGUCUCAGGAGGUACAGUGGGACAGAAUCUCUUCAUCCAUGUGUGCGCAUAGGAAUCUCCCAUUCUCCUCCCCAGACUUUUCCCCCAUGUGUGAUGCAUACGACGGUGUCUGCUGGUGUCCGACACCAGAGAAACCAACAACAGGGUGUCCUGCCUCUCUUCCUAAAGGGCACUGGGGAAGAGAGUCGAGGCACCUCCCUUCUCUGAUGUGGCGGGAAACCUUGGGUCGAGUUUUUUACUCUGGAUGGUGGUACAGUGGGGGCCAGGGCUCACAGCCGAGGUCUGGAACUCUGGUUGGAGCUGUCUUCAGAGCUCUAUUAUGGAGCCCCAGCCCUGGGCAGGAAAGCUCAUUAGCAGACGUGAUAGAUGUGAGCACAUGACUGCCGAGUCGUGUCCCGUGUCCCUGUUGAACUGGAACUCCUGCUCCUUCUCCAUUAGCAGCGGUGUCUGCAUGCUCAGCCAUCCCUCUGGACCCUUCUGAAUUCUCCCAGGGCUCUGAAUGCAGUCUUUUUUAUGCAAGGGUCUUGGACACGUCCGGGUGUGUGCGGCGCAAGCCUACAAACUCUCUCACCUCUACCAGAGAUAAUAAGGUCUUUUAUACCCUAGAGCCUGGGCAGGCCAUAAGGACAAAGGGUGCCCGGGACACAAGCAGGUAGUUUGGAAGUUUGGUGUAAAUUUAGAAGCAACUUCUACCUUCUCUUUCACCUGCGUGCCAUUGGGCUUGGCCAUGCGUGGCCCACGGUUGGCACAAAUAUUUGGAAUCUGUGAGUAAAGAAGCUGGAAGUGGGCUCAGAAAAUGCUGCCCAGGCCCAUGUAACAGAUGCCGGAGGAAACACAUGUGAGCUCACACACACAGGUUGCUGGAGUGAGAGGCUGAAGAGGGUAGGGGUGGGAUAAGGGACUGGAGUGCUCAAAGGCUGCAGAUCU